UACGGGGGGUGCAAGCGUUAAUCGGAAUCACUGGGCGUAAAGGGUGCGUAGGCGGUACGUUAGGUCUGUCGUGGAAUCCCCGGGCUCAACCUGGGAAUGGCGGUAGAAACCGGCGAACUAGAGUAUGGGAGAGGGUGGUGGAAUUCCAGGUGUAGCGGUGAAAUGCGUAGAGAUCUGGAGGAACAUCAGUGGCGAAGGCGGCCACCUGGCCCAAUACUGACGCUGAGGCACGAAAGCGUGGGGGAGCAAACAGGAUUAGAUACCCUGGUAGUCCACGCCCUAAACGAUGAAUACUAAAUGUUUGGUACCUAGCGUACUGAGUGUCGUAGCUAACGCGAUAAGUAUUCCGCCUGAGAAGUACGGCCGCAAGGUUAAAACUCA
rnacentral:rRNA from 1 species